AUGUUAAUAACCACAAUCAAGUUUUAUAUAGAAUUGAUUGUUAUUUUGCUUUACAAUUUUCUUAAAUUUUUAGCUGAUCAUCUAUGCUUUUUUCUCGACAGGUUGAUUUGGAAAGAAUUGGAAAAGAUACUCAUGGGUAUGUUAGGGAUGACCCCGCUGCCCUUUAAAUUGAAGCGGCUUUGA